rnacentral:rRNA from 1 species
ACUCUCGGCAACGGAUAUCUCGGCUCUUGCAUCGAUGAAGAAUGUAGCGAAAUGCGAUACUUGGUGUGAAUUGCAGAAUCCCGUGAACCAUCGAGUCUUUGAACGCAAGUUGCGCCUGAAGCCAUUAGGUUGAAGGCACGUCUGCCUGGGCGUC